rnacentral:rRNA from 1 species
AGAGUUUGAUCCUGGCUCAGGACGAACGCUGGCGGCGUGCCUAAUACAUGCAAGUAGAACGCUGAAGAGAGGAGCUUGCCCUUCUUGGAUGAGUUGCGAACGGGUGAGUAACGCGUAGGUAACCUGCCUUGUAGCGGGGGAUAACUAUUGGAAACGAUAGCUAAUACCGCAUAACAAUGGAUGACACAUGUCAUUUAUUUGAAAGGGGCAAUUGUUCCACUACAAGAUGGACCUGCGUUGUAUUAGCUAGUAGGUGAGGUAAUGGCUCACCUAGGCGACGAUACAUAGCCGACCUGAGAGGGUGAUCGGCCACACUGGGACUGAGACACGGCCCAGACUCCUACGGGAGGCAGCAGUAGGGAAUCUUCGGCAAUGGGGGCAACCCUGACCGAGCAACGCCGCGUGAGUGAGGAAGGUUUUCGGAUCGUAAAGCUCUGUUGUAAGUCAAGAACGGGUGUGAGAGUGGAAAGUUCACACAGUGACGGUAGCUUACCAGAAAGGGACGGCUAACUACGUGCCAGCAGCCGCGGUAAUACGUAGGUCCCGAGCGUUGUCCGGAUUUAUUGGGCGUAAAGCGAGCGCAGGCGGUUUGAUAAGUCUGAAGUUAAAGGCUGUGGCUCAACCAUAGUUCGCUUUGGAAACUGUCAAACUUGAGUGCAGAAGGGGAGAGUGGAAUUCCAUGUGUAGCGGUGAAAUGCGUAGAUAUAUGGAGGAACACCGGUGGCGAAAGCGGCUCUCUGGUCUGUAACUGACGCUGAGGCUCGAAAGCGUGGGGAGCGAACAGGAUUAGAUACCCUGGUAGUCCACGCCGUAAACGAUGAGUGCUAGGUGUUGGAUCCUUUCCGGGAUUCAGUGCCGCAGCUAACGCAUUAAGCACUCCGCCUGGGGAGUACGACCGCAAGGUUGAAACUCAAAGGAAUUGACGGGGGCCCGCACAAGCGGUGGAGCAUGUGGUUUAAUUCGAAGCAACGCGAAGAACCUUACCAGGUCUUGACAUCCCGAUGCUAUUUCUAGAGAUAGAAAGUUACUUCGGUACAUCGGUGACAGGUGGUGCAUGGUUGUCGUCAGCUCGUGUCGUGAGAUGUUGGGUUAAGUCCCGCAACGAGCGCAACCCCUAUUGUUAGUUGCCAUCAUUCAGUUGGGCACUCUAGCGAGACUGCCGGUAAUAAACCGGAGGAAGGUGGGGAUGACGUCAAAUCAUCAUGCCCCUUAUGACCUGGGCUACACACGUGCUACAAUGGUUGGUACAACGAGUUGCGAGUCGGUGACGGCGAGCUAAUCUCUUAAAGCCAAUCUCAGUUCGGAUUGUAGGCUGCAACUCGCCUACAUGAAGUCGGAAUCGCUAGUAAUCGCGGAUCAGCACGCCGCGGUGAAUACGCUCCCGGGCCUUGUACACACCGCCCGUCACACCACGAGAGUUUGUAACACCCGAAGUCGGUGAGGUAACCUUUUGGAGCCAGCCGCCUAAGGUGGGACAGAUGAUUGGGGUGAAGUCGUAACAAGGUA